UGCCGACCAGGUGCCUGCACUAAGUUCGGCAUCAAUAUGGCGACCUCCUGGGAGCGGGGGGCCACCAAGUUGCCUAAGGAUGGCUGAACUGGCCCAGGUCAGAAACGGAGCAGGUCAGAACUCCUGCACCGACCAGUAGUGGGACUGUGCCUGGGCG
rnacentral:SRP_RNA from 1 species